UACAGGGGGUGCAAACGUUGCUCGGAAUCAUUGGGCGUAAAGCGCACGUAGGCGGUUCGUUAUGUCGGAUGUGAAAGCCCUUGGCUUAACCGAGGAAGUGCAUCCGAAACUGGCGAGCUAGAGUACGAAAGAGGAUCGCGGAAUUCCCGGUGUAGAGGUGAAAUUCGUAGAUAUCAGGAGGAACACCAAUAGCGAAGGCAGCUCGCUGGGACGGUAUUGACGCUAAGGCGCGAAAGCGUGGGGAGCAAACAGG
rnacentral:rRNA from 1 species